rnacentral:tRNA from 1 species
GUCUGGGUGGCUCAGUCGGUUGAGCAUCUGACUUCGGCUCAGGUCAUGAUCUCACAGUUUGUGGGUUCGAGCCCCGCGUCGGGCU